UACAGAGGUGGCAAGCGUUGUUCGGAUUUAUUGGGCGUAAAGGGUCCGUAGGCGGCCCGGAAAGUCGGAUGUGAAAGCCCACAGCUCAACUGUGGAACUGCAUUCGAAACUUCCAGGCUAGAGUGUGAGAGGGGUGAAGGGAAUUCCCGGUGUAAGGGUGAAAUCUGCAGAGAUCGGGAGGAACACCUGUCGCGAAGGCGCUUCACUGGCUCACUACUGACGCUCAGGGACGAAAGCUAGGGGAGCAAAC
rnacentral:rRNA from 1 species